GGCAAGGCUGAGUGAAACUCAGGACUUUCUUCAGCCUCCUGCUGCUCUAGGCCUGGGGGACAGGGGGUUCAGGAAGGAAGUCAGCAGAGCCCAGCCUGCCCUGGAGGAACUGGAACAGCUGGGCCAUGGGGUCCUACACCCAUCGUCUGUUCCACGUACCCACCCCAGCCCUGAGAUUGCCUUGGUGCUGCCCUGGCAUCUUGUCCUCCAGACUUUCCCAGACCGUGGCCCCUUCCCUGCAGGCCCCCAGCAGAGGCGUUGUGGGUGUGAAGGGACCCAGCAUCGGCAAUCAAGUGCUCACCCGCCCACUGCUUCCUGCCUUCCAGACCCUGCCCUCAGUGAUAGGUCCUCCAUCCCCCGCAGAGCAACUCCCACCCAGCCCCAGCAUGGCCCCUGGAAGUUAACGAUGCUCAGACCCCACGGUGCCACUGGCCAAGGCUGACCCUGUAAUUACAGCAGUUAAGAAUAGCCUGGAAGGACCAGCAAGGACUGGAGCUUCUCAAAUCACUCCCAGAUGGGUGUCCAGGCCAGUAUCUUGCCCCUCCGUCCCCAGCCCUGGCCCUGCCAGAACCCUUAGGAAAAGAGCUGGCACUCUCAAGCUAGUGGAUGCCAGGGACGCAUGCCAGCCUCUAAACUGAGAGGCGGUGGGUCCCCUGCUCCCAUGCACCCUGGAAGCCAGAGCCCCCCGCUGACUGGAGAUGGAAAGUGCACAGGGCGUCAGCUGUGGGCACAGCUCAGGGAGGCUGGCAGCGGUGUGCACUCAGCUGCCCUCAGUUUCUUCUGUUUUACAGAUUUUCCAUCUUGGUUUGGGCAGAACAGUGUGUGCUCUUAAGAGUUAUAGGAGCCAGGGGUCAGGCAUUCACCUCACUUCCUCCUCCCCUGGGGCGGGAGGGGCUCUAUUGUGGUUCCCAUCUCUGUCCUUCCUGCCAUUUGUGGAGCGUCUUCACUGGAGCAUGCCACAGUGGGAACAGUUGGGUGUACUGGGAAGCAGGCCAACCUCGGGCCGUGUGAAAGGCUGGCGGGAAGGGCAGAUACCUGGCACUUUUUGUAUGUAAGGCAGGCCCCCUGCUUUGUGCCGGGUGGAGAUGGGGGAUAUGAGAGGGACCAGCAGAGCUCAGUGUUCAAGAAGCAGCUUUUCCCUGGUCCAGGAGACAUGCUUUUGGGUGUGAAAUGGGAGGGGGUAUGAGUGUGAGGGAUCUGGAGGAACCUAUGCUCUAUCCCCUAUAGCAGCAGGGGUCAUGGCCACCGAAUCUUCCCCUGUGGCUGGCAGCCCCAGCUGGGCCAGGGAGCAGGCGGUGGGCUCAUCCUGUUUGGCUGUGAGCAAGCUGCUGCUUCAUCUGCCUGAGGUGCCAGGGACAGAAGCAGAGCCCAUGCAGCCCAAAUGAAACUACACUUGUGGCAGGAAGGACCCAGAAUAGGGGGCUGGCAUGUCCCCAUGGCUGCCCCUG
rnacentral:lncRNA from 1 species